rnacentral:rRNA from 1 species
CUUUUGUCAGGGAAGAAACGGUCUGAUCUAAUACAUUGGGCUAAUGACGGUACCUGAAGAAUAAGCACCGGCUAACUACGUGCCAGCAGCCGCGGUAAUACGUAGGGUGCAAGCGUUAAUCGGAAUUACUGGGCGUAAAGCGUGCGCAGGCGGCUUUGCAAGACAGAUGUGAAAUCCCCGGGCUCAACCUGGGAACUGCAUUUGUGACUGCAUGGCURGAGUACGGUAGAGGGGGAUGGAAUUCCGCGUGUAGCAGUGAAAUGCGUAGAUAUGCGGAGGAACACCGAUGGCGAAGGCAAUCCCCUGGACCUGUACUGACGCUCAUGCACGAAAGCGUGGGGAGCAAACAGGAUUAGAUACCCUGGUAGUCCACGCCCUAAACGAUGUCAACUGGUUGUUGGACGGCUUGCUGUUCAGUAACGAAGCUAACGCGUGAAGUUGACCGCCUGGGGA